rnacentral:misc_RNA from 1 species
AAGUCGUAACAAGGUUUCCGUAGGUGAACCUGCGGAAGGAUCAUUAUAAAAAUUUAACACUUUUAAAAUUCAAUUCUCACUGAAUUCACUCUCAGUGUUGUGAUCUCUGUAAAAAAGUCUUGAGGUGGAAGGUUAUUUGACUUGUUCUAAUGACUGGAAUCCUUGAGCAAACCCUUUUUUUAACUUAACCAAAAAAAACCCAAUUCAAACCUCAAAUGGACUCCUUUUAUUUUUCUUUUUUUAAUUUCCGUAAGGAAUGCAAAAAAAAUGAGAAAUCAAGGAACUCUAAAACUUAAAAAAAACAAAACAAAAAAAACACUCACCGAGUGUAUAAACUAAAAAUUCAUAAAAUGAAAUACAACUCUUAACAAUGGAUAUCUCGGUUCUCGU